rnacentral:misc_RNA from 1 species
AUCCCUGUGAAGGUACCAUGAGGUACAAAAUUUUAGUGUAAAAUUUGGUACCUCGUAGUACUUAAGUACCAGGAGAUAUCAAAUUUACAAUAUAAAAAGUGGUACCUCAUGGUACCUCCUAAAUGAUCGU